GCACUCGUAGUAUAAUGGAUAAAAUAGAGGCCUCCGACGCCUUAGAUGUAGGUUCGAUUCCUACCGGGUGCA
rnacentral:tRNA from 1 species